GUUGUCCGGAUUUAUUGGGCGUAAAGAGCUCGUAGGCGGCUCAUUGCGUCAACCGUGAAAACCAGCAGCUCAACUGUUGGCUUGCGGUUGAUACGGGUGGGCUGGAGUUCGGUAGGGGAGACUGGAAUUCCUGGUGUAGCGGUGAAAUGCGCAGAUAUCAGGAGGAACACCGGUGGCGAAGGCGGGUCUCUGGGCCGAUACUGACGCUGAGGAGCGAAAGCGUGGGGAGCGAACAGG
rnacentral:rRNA from 1 species